CCUUAGAGCACAAACAGUCUUAUUUAGAGACGGGGUCGGAAUCUGCUCGCGUGGGAUGGGGAGAGCCUGACGGAAAAACACUGCCCCUCCCGCUCACAGAUCCUUGGCUUCCUUCUCAAAGACGCGGGACACCAGACUCCAUAUCGAGGUACUUCAGAGAGGAGCUGGAGCAGAGGACGUGGGGAAGGCCUGUCCCGGGAAGACCCUACAGGAUCCUGCCGUGACAAAGGGCCCGGCAACUCCCCUCGAGAGCUCUCUUAGGGCUCUCGAGAGAAGCUGCAGUGUUUGCUGAGGACCAGUUCAAGAGCUCAGUGGAGUGAGGAGAGCAGAACAGGGACAGGAAGGCGGAGCCGUUGCCUUCAGGGUGACUGUGAGCCCAGAGCGGAGGCCGACGGCAAUUCAGGGCCUGCUGGGAACCAUCCUGGCACAUCAGUGAAACUUCGGCGGGUUUACCACAUCAAUUAAUGUCUCAAGAACAAAUGAAAUACACCUGUUGCCCUGCCAGAAAUACCUAGGUUGACCUGGAACAUUCAACUCAUCCAAGCAACCUGCCUUCUCCACAGGUAGAUUCGAAGGACAGAUUCCAGGUACAGAGAUGAAUAUGAUGGAGAUCUGUAUUCGCCCAAAAUGUCUAGAGGGAAAGCUUAAGAAAGAAUGUCCUCUUCUUGGAACUUCCCUGGUGGUCCACGGAUAAGACUUCAAACUCCCAGUGCAGGGGCCCGGGUCCAGCCCCCAGUCAGGGAACUCAUCCCACCGGCUGAACUACGAGUCCCCACGCCACAACUGUGGAUCUCGAAUGCUGCAAUUAAGACUGAAGGUCCCAAGUGCCAGCACAGCCAAAUACAUAAAUAAAUACUCAAGAAAAGUAAAAGAGUGCCCCCUCUCGCCACGUCCAAGGUCAAGAGUCACUGGGAGGAGUGAAACCUGAGUGGCCGGCCUCGCCGUGGCCCUGACCGCACAUCUGAUCGCGCUCGCCUGUCUCUGCAGCCCGCCCCCGCUUCCUCCUUGCCCUCAUCAUCUCAGGAUCAUUCCUCCCUCCAACACUCGCUUCCACAGGAACCCUGUGCCUCCACAGCAAGCUUCUCUCAACUUUGCCCCUUUUCCUCCAAAUGGAAGGAGUCUUGGAAAAAAGAAACCCAACUAGACAGAGCUGCCAACUUGGGUCUCAUUUUUGAAAACUGUACAUGCAUUUGACACAGAACAUCAAAGCCGGGGAUAGAGUCACCAAGAAUGAUCUUCAGUGCAAAUUGCAGCAUCUUCUAGGCCUCAAACCAAAGAAAUACAUGAACUUGUCUUUUUCAUCCCUUCAUCCUUCCUCACCUGGAUGUCUAACAGCCAGCAAAUAUCUACUGUGGAAUUUUAACAUACACAGACCCCUUCGUGUUAUCGAAGGACCUCAAAUUUACAUGCAAAAGCAAGAAUUUCAGCAGCCAGCAGUUUUGCAGCUUUUUUUAGUGUCAGUGUCUAAGCCUCCUUUCCCUCUGAGGCUCACAGAAAGACCAGCAGUCCAUCCCGGAAAUGUAAUGUCAGCUCACGAUCUGUCAAGCAUCCAAUGUGUACUUCUGGGACACGCCAAUGGGAGCAAUUACUCAUAUUUCUAAGAAACCAGAUUUGUCUUAGAAAUCUUCACAUCUAUUUUCUCACCUAAACACAAUGGAAAUAAAUCUUGAGUGGAGAAGCAACCAUUAGCUUCCAGUCUGCACCAUCCACUUCAUAUUGCUACAUACUUACUCAAGCGUGACCAUCACAAGGGCUGCUUCCAGUUUUAUAGGAAGCAGUGUUAUUUGCUAGUCAUAACUUUAAUGGGGAAAAAUUAAUUCUUAUAGGAGUCACAGAAAAAAAUCCAUCAGUGAUCUGGCCAGCUCAUUACUUCAGGACAGAACUGUAUAUAAAACUUACUAGAGCUGACUCAUUUGAAAAGACCCUGAUGCUGGGAAAGAUUGAGGGCAGGAGGAGAAGGGGACGACAGAGGAUGAGAUGGUUGGAUGGCAUCACUGACUCGAUGGACAUGGGUUUGGGUGGACUCCAGGAGUUGGUGAUGGACAGGGAGGCCUGGUAUGCUGCAGUUCAUGGGGUCGUAAAGAGUCGGACAUGACUGAGGGACUGAACUGAACUGAACUGAAUUGCCAGUGUUAAGUGCUUACAGUACUUGGUACCCACUAAGAUAUUAGAAGACUACCUGGUUUGAAUUAGUGCUUCCCUGACCUAGUGCCUCAGUCUCUUUUCUGAGUAUGUUAGUAAUUUAUCAAUAAUAGAGUAAGCUGAGUAAGCUUUCCUUAAGUCUAAUUUAAAUAAAGCAAAAGACAAAUGAACUAUGUCCUUGGAUUUCAUGUGAUGUUGAAUAAAUAACCACGUGCAAACCUUUGGGAAUACAGUUAAAAAUAAGAAUGAAUAUGCAUUCCCCCAAAAGAUGCAUGGUUGUCCUUGACAAUCAUCUCGAAAGAUUAAGCGUGUGUAGCAAAUCCCAAGACUCACCUGUCUGUAAUAAUUCAACUCAGUAAACCUUUAUCAAUCAUUUACUGUGUACAAGUGACUGGGCUUGUCAUCCCAGCAGGCAUAAAGAUGAAUAAGACAUGGCAUUUGCACUGGAAGAACUUAUUCAUUCCUUAUCCAUUGAGGUCUUGACACCUUCUUGGUACCCAGCUUUAUUUUUUGUUCCCAACAAGACUUGCAUUAGACAGAAU